AGAGUUUGAUCAUGGCUCAGGACGAACGCUGGCGGCGUGCUUAACACAUGCAAGUCGAACGAUGAAGUGGAGCUUGCUCCACGGAUUAGUGGCGAACGGGUGAGGAACACGUGAGAAACCAACCCCGGUCUUUGGGAUAACAGUUGGAAACGACUGCUAAUACCGAAUGCCGUCGUUGCCUCGCAUGGGGCGAUGACGAAAGGGCUACCGGAUCGGGACGGUCUCGCGGCCUAUCAGCUUGUUGGGGAGGUAACGGCUCACCAAGGCUUCGACGGGUAGCUGGUCUGAGAGGAUGAUCAGCCACACUGGGACUGAGACACGGCCCAGACUCCUACGGGAGGCAGCAGUGGGGAAUCUUGCACAAUGGAGGAAACUCUGAUGCAGCGAUGCCGCGUGAGUGAAGAAGGCCUUUGGGUUGUAAAGCUCUUUUGUAGGGGAAGAUAAUGACUGUACCCUAAGAAUAAGGUCCGGCUAACUUCGUGCCAGCAGCCGCGGUAAUACGAGGGGUGCAAGCGUUGCUCGGAAUUAUUGGGCGUAAAGGGUAGGUAGGUGGUCUCGUUUGUCAGGGGUGAAAUCCUUGGGCUUAACCCAAGAAGUGCCCCUGAAACGGCGAGACUGGAGUCCUGGAGAGGGUCGUGGAAUUCCCGGUGUAGCGGUGAAAUGCGUAGAGAUCGGGAGGAACACCAGCGGCGAAGGCGGCGACCUGGACAGGUACUGACACUCAACUACGAAAGCGUGGGUAGCAAACAGGAUUAGAUACCCUGGUAGUCCACGCUGUAAACGAUGGGUACUAGGUUUGGAGGGUCUUGACCCCCGCCGAACCGCAGCUAACGCGUUAAGUACCCCGCCUGGGAAGUACGGUCGCAAGACUAAAACUCAAAGGAAUUGACGGGGGCCCGCACAAGCGGUGGAUCAUGUGGUUUAAUUCGAAGCAACGCGAAGAACCUUACCUGGGUUUGACAUCCUCUGACAUCCGUAGAGAUACGGCCUUCGUAGCAAUACGACAGAGAGACAGGUGCUGCAUGGCUGUCGUCAGCUCGUGUGGUGACAUGUUGGGUUAAGUCCCGCAACGAGCGCAACCCUCACCCUUAGUUACCAGCGGGUAAAGCCGGGGACUCUAGGGGGACUGCCGGUGCCAAACCGGAGGAAGGUGGGGAUGACGUCAAGUCAUCAUGGCUCUUACGUCUAGGGCUACACACGUGCUACAAUGGGCCAGACAGAGGGCUGCCAACUCGCGAGAGUGCGCCAAUCCCCAAACUGGUCCUCAGUUCGGAUUGUAGUCUGCAACUCGACUACAUGAAGCUGGAAUCGCUAGUAAUCGUGGAUCAGCUACGCCACGGUUAAUACGUUCCCGGGCCUUGUACACACCGCCCGUCACGCCAUGGAAGUUGUGAGCGCCCGAAGUCGGUGUCGGAACCCGCAAGGGACCAAGCCGCCUAAGGCGAGCGCAAUGACUGGGGCGAAGUCGUAACAAGGUAGCCGUA
rnacentral:rRNA from 1 species